rfam:Felis catus isolate Cinnamon breed Abyssinian chromosome X, whole genome shotgun sequence.
GCCUGGGUGGCUCAGUCGGUUGGGUGGCCGACUUCGGCUCGGAUCACGAUCUCGCGGUCCGUGGGUUCAAGCCCCGCGUCGGGCU